rnacentral:rRNA from 1 species
UAAAACCAGCUCUUCAAGUGGUCGGGAAUAUUAUUGGGCUUAAAGUGUCCGUAGCCGGUUAGAACAGUUCCUGGUAAAAUCUGGCAGCUUAACUGUCAGGUCGCUAGGAAUACUAUCUUACUAGAGGGUGGGAAAGGUUUGGGGUACUCCAGGGGUAGCGGUGAAAUGCGAUAAUCCGUGGGGGACCACCAGUGGCGAAGGCGCCAGUCUGGAACACGCCUGACGGUGAGGGACGAAAGCCAGGGGAGCGAACCGGAUUAGAUACCCGGGUAGUCCUGGCCGUAAACGAUGCAUACUAGGUGAUGGUACGGCCAUGAGCCGUGUCAGUGCCGUAGGGAAACCGUUAAGUGUGCCGCCUGGGAAGUACGGUCGCAAGGCUA